rnacentral:rRNA from 19 species
CGACCCCAGGUCAGGCGGGGCUACCCGCUGAGUUUAAGCAUAUCAAUA